UACGUAGGGACCAAGCGUUGUUCGGAUUUACUGGGCGUAAAGGGCGCGUAGGCGGCGCGGUAAGUCACUUGUGAAAUCUCUGAGCUUAACUCAGAACGGCCAAGUGAUACUGUGCGACUAGAGUGCGGAAGGGGCAACUGGAAUUCUUGGUGUAGCGGUGAAAUGCGUAGAUAUCAAGAGGAACACCUGCGGCGAAGGCGGGUUGCUGGGCCGACACUGACGCUGAAGCGCGAAAGCCAGGGGAGCGAACGGG
rnacentral:rRNA from 1 species